GAAAGUAAGCAAGGGCAGACGGUGGAUGCCUUGGCUCUCGGAGGCGAUGAAGGACGUGAUAAGCUGCGAUAAGCUUGGGGUAGGUGCAAAUAACCUUUGAUCCCAAGAUUUCCGAAUGGGGCAACCCGGCUGGUAGAAGGCCAGUCAUUCCGUAAGGAAGGCGAACGUGGGGAACUGAAACAUCUAAGUACCCAUAGGAGAAGAAAACAAAAGUGAUUCCGCAAGUAGUGGCGAGCGAACGCGGAACAGCCCAAACCGAUGAUGUUUAGGCAUUGUCGGGGUAGUAGGACCACGUUGUGGCAAGAGAUUAAGGAAGUAGAACGUUUUGGAACAAACGGCCGUAGACGGUGAAAGCCCAGUAUACGACUCUUUAACGAAGCCUAGUGGAAUCCUGAGUAGCGCGGAGCACGAGAAAUUCUGUGUGAAUCAGCGGGGCCCAUCCCGUAAGGCUAAAUACUCCCGAGAGACCGAUAGCGAACCAGUACUGUGAAGGAAAGGUGAAAAGCACCUCGAACAGAGGAGUGAAAUAGUCCCUGAAACCGUCUGCCUACAAGCGGUCGGAGCAACGUAAGUUGUGACGGCGUGCCUUUUGCAUAAUGAACCUACGAGUUACUUUCUCCGGCAAGGUUAAGGGCUUCAGGCCCGGAGCCGAAGCGAAAGCGAGUCUUAAUAGGGCGUGAUAGUCGGAGUGAGUAGACGCGAAACCAAGUGAUCUACCCUUGGUCAGGAUGAAGGUUGGGUAACACCAACUGGAGGUCCGAAUGGGUAUACGUUGAAAAGUGUUCCAAUGAACUGAGGGUAGGGGUGAAAGGCUAAUCAAACUUGGAGAUAGCUCGUACUCCCCGAAAUGCAUUUAGGUGCAGCCUUUAUUUAGUAUAGCAUGAGGUAGAGCGACUGAUUGGAUGCGAGGGCUUCACCGCCUAUCAAGUCCAGAUAAACUCCGAAUGCGUGCUAUAUAUUGAUAAGGAGUGAGGGCGCGGGUGCUAAGGUCCGCGUCCGAGAGGAGAAGAAUCCAGACCAUCAGCUAAGGUCCCCAAAUAACAGUUAAGUUGAACUAACGAAGUCGGACUGCAGAGACAGCUAGGAUGUUGGCUUGGAAGCAGCCAUUCAUUUAAAGAGUGCGUAACAGCUCACUAGUCGAGGAGUCCGGCGUGGAUAAUACUCGGGCAUAAACUGUUUACCGAAGCUAUGGAUGUAGAAAUACAUGGUAGGGGAGCAUUCCAACGGCGUCGAAGGUGAAGGAUGACCUUUGCUGGAGCUUUUGGAAACGCAAAUGUAGGUAUAAGUAACGAUAAAGGAGGUGAGAAACCUCCUCGCCGAAAGACUAAGGUUUCCUGAUCAACGUUAAUCGGAUCAGGGUAAGUCGGGACCUAAGGUUAAGCCGAACGGCGAUACCGAUGGAAGAAUGGUUUAAUAUUCCCAUACUACUUUAUGGAGCGAUGUGGAGACGGAGAAGUGAAAGUCCUGCCAUCUGACGGAAUAGGUGGUUGAAGAGUGUAGAUGUAGAUUCCUGUAGGCAAAUCCGCAGGGAGAGUCGACCUUGAUAGUAUGCCGCGUGCUUGCACAAGGCAAAAUGGACGUAAUCAGGCUCCCAAGAAAAUCCGCUAAGCAUAUUCAUAAAGUACCCGUACCGUAAACGGACACACGUAGUUGGGUUGAAAAUACUGAGGCGCUCGAGUGAUUCACGGUUAAGGAACUAGGCAAAUUGACCCUGUAACUUCGGGAUAAAGGGUCCCUACUGAGAGGUAGGGCGCAGAGAAUAGGUCCAGGCAACUGUUUAACAAAAACACAUGGCUGUGCGAAAUAGAAAUAUGAAGUAUACAGCCUGACACCUGCCCGGUGCUGGAAGGUUAAGAGGAGAGCUCAUCGCAAGAGAAGGCUUGAAUUGAAGCCCCAGUAAACGGCGGCCGUAACUAUAACGGUCCUAAGGUAGCGAAAUUCCUUGUCGGGUAAGUUCCGACCUGCACGAAUGGUGUAAUGAUCUGGACACUGUCUCAACCGUGAGCUCAGUGAAAUUGUAGUAUCGGUGAAGAUGCCGAUUACCCGCGAUGGGACGAAAAGACCCCGUGAACCUUUACUAUAGCUUAACAUUGAAUUUGGGUAAUUGAUGUGUAGG
rnacentral:rRNA from 1 species